GACGAACGCUGGCGGCGUGCUUAACACAUGCAAGUCGAACGGAAAGGCCUGCUUUCCCUUGUGGAUUGCGGGUACUCGAGUGGCGAACGGGUGAGUAACACGUGAGUGAUCUGCCCCCAACUUGGGUAUAAGCCUGGGAAACUGGGUCUAAUUCCCGAUAGGACUGCAGGGUGGUGCCUGUGGUGGAAAACGAUUUUCUAGUGGUUGGGGAUGAGCUCGCGGCCUAUCAGCUUGUUGGUGGGGUAAUGGCCUACCAAGGCGGCGACGGGUAGCCGGCCUGGGGGGGGGGGCAGGCCAAUUGGGACAGGGGAUAGGGCCCGACUGCUGCCGGGAGCAGGAGUUGGGGAACAUUGCACAAUGGCGGGACGCUGGAGGAGCGGCGGAGGGGUGGGGGUGUCCGGCUUCUGGGUGUCAAUUCCUUUCGAACGGCAAGGAGGCAACUGGUUGGGAAGGUGGUGACGGUAGUUGUAGAAGAAGCACCGGCUAACUACGUG
rnacentral:rRNA from 1 species